CCUACGGGUGGCAGCAGUGGGGAAUAUUGGACAAUGGGCGAAAGCCUGAUCCAGCCAUGCCGCGUGUGUGAAGAAGGCCUUCGGGUUGUAAAGCACUUUCAGUGGGGAAGAAAGCCUUGGGGCUAAUACCCUCGAGGAAGGACAUCACCCACAGAAGAAGCACCGGCUAACUCCGUGCCAGCAGCCGCGGUAAUACGGAGGGUGCGAGCGUUAAUCGGAAUUACUGGGCGUAAAGCGCGCGUAGGCGGUCUGAUAAGCCGGUUGUGAAAGCCCCGGGCUCAACCUGGGAACGGCAUCCGGAACUGUCAGGCUAGAGUGCAGGAGAGGAAGGUAGAAUUCCCGGUGUAGCGGUGAAAUGCGUAGAGAUCGGGAGGAAUACCAGUGGCGAAGGUGGCCUUCUGGACUGACACUGACGCUGAGGUGCGAAAGCGUGGGUAGCAAACAGGAUUAGAUACCCUAGUAGUC
rnacentral:rRNA from 1 species